UUGCUCUUCAACGAGGAAUGCCUAGUAAGCGUACGUCAUCAGCGUGCGUUGAUUACGUCCCUGCCCUUUGUACACACCGCCCGUCGCUACUACCGAUUGAAUGGCUGAGUGAGGCCUUCGGACUGGCCCAGGGAGGUCGGCAACGACCACCCAGGGCCGGAAAGUUGGUCAAACUCCGUCAUUUAGAGGAAGUAAAAGUCGUAACAAGGUUUCCGUAGGUGAACCUGCGGAAGGAUCAUUAAGGAGUAAGGGUGCUCAGCGCCCGACCUCCAACCCUUUGUUGUUAAAACUACCUUGUUGCUUUGGCGGGACCGCUCGGUCUCGAGCCGCUGGGGAUUCGUCCCAGGCGAGCGCCCGCCAGAGUUAAACCAAACUCUUGUUAUUUAACCGGUCGUCUGAGUUAAAAUUUUGAAUAAAUCAAAACUUUCAACAACGGAUCUCUUGGUUCUCGCAUCGAUGAAGAACGCAGCGAAAUGCGAUAAGUAAUGUGAAUUGCAGAAUUCAGUGAAUCAUCGAAUCUUUGAACGCACAUUGCGCCCCUUGGUAUUCCAUGGGGCAUGCCUGUUCGAGCGUCAUUUGUACCCUCAAGCUAUGCUUGGUGUUGGGUGUUUGUCCUCUCCUUUGCGAUUGGACUCGCCUUAAAGACAUUGGCAGCCAGUGUAUUGGUCUUGAAGCGCAGCACAUUUUGCGAUUCUUGCUGAUAAUCACUAGCGUCCAGUAAGCCUAUUUUAACACUUUUGACCUCGGAUCAGGUAGGGAUACCCGCUGAACUUAAGCAUAUCAAUAAGCGGAGGA
rnacentral:rRNA from 1 species